rnacentral:rRNA from 1 species
GGGAAUAUUGGACAAUGGGCGAAAGCCUGAUCCAGCAAUGCCGCGUGAGUGAUGAAGGCCUUAGGGUUGUAAAGCUCUUUCAGUUGGGAAGAUAAUGACGGUACCAACAGAAGAAGCCCCGGCUAACUUCGUGCCAGCAGCCGCGGUAAUACGAAGGGGGCUAGCGUUACUCGGAAUUAUUGGGCGUAAAGAAUGCGUAGGCGGUUUAGUAAGUUAGAAGUGAAAGCCCAGAGCUUAACUUUGGAAUGGCUUUUAAUACUGCUAAACUAGAGUGUCAGAGGGGAUAGCGGAAUUCCUAGUGUAGAGGUGAAAUUCGUAGAUAUUAGGAGGAACACCGGUGGCGAAAGCGGCUAUCUGGAUGAAUACUGACGCUGUUGCAUGAAAGCGUGGGGAGCAAAC